rnacentral:rRNA from 1 species
UACAGAGACUGCAAGCGUUAUUCGGAUUCACUGGGCGUAAAGGGUGCGCAGGCGGUUGGGUGUGUCAGAUGUGAAAUCCCGAGGCUCAACCUCGGAACUGCGUCUGAAACUACUCGACUAGAGUACUGGAGAGGGUAACGGAAUUCACGGUGUAGCAGUGAAAUGCGUAGAUAUCAGGAGGAACACCGAUGGCGAAGGCAGAUCUCUGGGCCGUAACUGACGCUGAGGAGCGAAAGCAUGGGGAGCGGACAGGAUUAGAUA